CAAUAGCGUAUAUUAAAGCUGUUGCGGUUAAAAAGCUCGUAGUUGGAUUUCUGUCAAGGACAACUGGUCCGCCCUCCGGGUGAGCACAUAGUUUGGUCUUGGCAUCUUGCUGGAAGCUGUUGCUGCACUUGGCUGUGUGGCGCAGCGUCCAGCACUUUCACUUUGAGGAAAUUGGAGUGUUUCAAGCAGGCACAUGCCUUUGGACACAGUAGCAUGGAAUAAUUAGAUUGGGCUUUUGCUCCAAUUUGUCGGUUUCUGGAGCUGAGGUGAGAAUUAAUGGGGAUUGUUGGGGGCAUCCGAAUUUAGCCGUCAGAGGUGGAAUUCUUGGAUCUGCUAAAGACGGACAACUGCGAAAGCGUUUGCCCAGGAUGUUUUCAUUGA
rnacentral:rRNA from 1 species